UGUUUUCAUUCAUUGUUCUAUUGUUUUUUUCAGCUAAAUUACGGUUUGUGUUAUGUGGAACCUGUAUGAUGCAUGAUUAGAUGAAAUUAUUGUGUAGUUAAUCAUUAACGUGUUUGCAACGCGGCUGUGUGCUACCAUUGAUUUUAUUUAAUUAUUAAUGGGUUGUUUCAGAUGGUUAUAUAGCCUGUUAUUUGGAGUCGUCUAUUGCGUCUUCCUGUUUAUUUCAUUUGUUUCAUGAGCAAAUUGGUACUGUAAAGUGUAAAAGUUACUCUAUAUACUCUACAAACAGUUUUAACCUAUAAGAAGUUGAAACUUUAUCAUGGGUGGUAUUUACGUUCUUCUGAAUUCUGAUGACAUUUUCAGAAAUGGUAUAUCUUCCUAUAAAACCUGAAUUUGAUUUUAGUUCUUUUGUUGGUAGUCUAUCAUGAUCAACGCCCGACAAUCUGCAAUGUGAACCAUUCUCCUCCCUUUUAUUAGUUUUCAUUUUCCAUGACUUUUAAGAGAGACAAACAUGAGGAGGAUAGAGAGAUGUGUAAGAUAAAGAGAGAGAUGGUCGAGUAAGUUGUGGCGAUUUAAUCGGUGAUGGUGUUAUUUGGUCUGUGGUGGCGUGAUGGAGCAAGUCGGUGUAGUGGCAGGGUAAGUUAGAAGAGUUAUUUUAGGGUUUAUCAUGAUAAAAAAUUUGGAAGAUUUGAUGAUCAUCAGACUACUGUUUGAUAGAUUUAGCUUAGUGUUCGAAAUUAGAACCUCUAAAUGCUAGAAAGCCUUUCACAGCUCGAGAACCAAAACUCCUUGAUGCUAGAAAUUGGCGGUGCAGGGUUUGAAAACAUUGGGGAAACUAAGGGUUCUGUUUUCUGUUCUCAUUCACAAUGGAUAUUAUGGUACUUGAACAACAAAUCAUCAACUAAACAGAGUAAGAGCUGAAUCGACCAAGAUUACACUGAUUACAUAAUCAUUGUUUUCGACAACUUUAGUGGGAAUUUGGUGGUCGAUGGGAGCAUGGUCAACAUACGAGUGGUGGGGUAUACUGCAGGAAGAUUUUUAUACUCGCGUUUUCUUUCAUCAGCAAGGCCAAAAGUGAAAAUAUCUCUAUAAAGGGUUGUCACUUGGCGCCAAUUUACUUCAGCGAGGUUUCUCGUGUGGAGGCAGUACGGUUUCCGGGGGAACGUUGUAACCAAGUCUGACCAACUCAGCGCAGGCCCGGUUAAGACAACGUAGUGUGGGCAGAUCUUGGCUAGAGCCGCCGUUUAGACGGUGUGACAUUGGGUCAUUAAAAAAGAAAGUCACCGUUCAAAAAAAAAUUAAUAUCACAAUGUUACUUUACAGAGGAUCCUGUUGGAUUUUUUGAAUGGUGAAAAAGUUUCGGACAAGUGUUAUUAGAUGGUAUGAUAUGAUUCAAGACGAAGAUAUUUUGUUAUUGGUUACGAAGCACUCCAAAAAGCAGAACGAAUGCGAGGU